AUUGAACGCUGGCGGCAGGCUUAACACAUGCAAGUCGAGCGGAGAGAGGUAGCUUGCUACUGAUCUUAGCGGCGGACGGGUGAGUAAUGCUUAGGAAUCUGCCUAUUAGUGGGGGACAACAUUUCGAAAGGAAUGCUAAUACCGCAUACGUCCUACGGGAGAAAGCAGGGGAUCUUCGGACCUUGCGCUAAUAGAUGAGCCUAAGUCGGAUUAGCUAGUUGGUGGGGUAAAGGCCUACCAAGGCGACGAUCUGUAGCGGGUCUGAGAGGAUGAUCCGCCACAAUGGGACGGAGACACGGCCCAGACCCCUACGGGAGGCAGCAGUGGGGAAUAUUGGACAAUGGGCGGAAGCCUGAUCCAGCCAUGCCGCGUGUGUGAAGAAGGCCUUAUGGUUGUAAAGCACUUUAAGCGAGGGGAGGCUACUUUAGUUAAUACCUAGAGAUAGUGGACGUUACUCGCAGAAUAAGCACCGGCUAACUCUGUGCCAGCCGCCGCGGUAAAGC
rnacentral:rRNA from 1 species